AUAGAAAAGAGAGAUAGAUUCGGUCUAGGUUCAAUCAGAGGCCUAGGUUUGAUCUGUUGCUGACAUGGGUAAAUCAUGGUACCAGGUGCACAAGUCAGAGAAGAGAAAAUAACAAGUACGGAGAGAAAAAAAAAGAGAAUUUAUAGGAAAUAAUAAAUGAAGAAAAAUAAGAAGAAAAGAGAAAGAAGUUAGAAGAGGAAGAUGAAAAUGGAAGGAGGAUGAAGAGAGGGAAGAGAAGAGGCUAGGGGAAGGUGAAGAUGGCUGGGUUGUGAUGAUUGUGGAAGGCUCAGUGGUGGCGGGCAGUGCUCUACGGGCGACAGUCAACAGUAGCUGGUGGCAAUGCAGGCCAGCAGAAAUGGGUUGAACAUGAAGAAGAAACAGUCAUGCAAAGAAAAAAAACAGAGAAGGGAAGAGAAGAGGGGCAGCACCCCUAGCUCCCUUAUUGGCCAACGGCAGUGGAUUCCGGUGGAAGAAGACAAUGUCUCGGAACAGCAAAAUAGGGUUUUGCAAGGAAAAAUAGGGUUUUGGGGCGGUGGAGCUUGGUUGUGGCAGCAUGGCGGUCGCCGGAGAUGAGGAAGAAGGAUAAGGGGAGAGGAAGGGUUUAGAGAAGGGUUUUUGACAAGAUAGGCUCGGCUCAGUGAAUGGAUAAGGCCGGCUGUUUGUCAGUUGGCAGCGGUCCCAACAACCGGUGCCCGUUCCUCACCGGUCUGCAUGGAGUCCUCACCGGCCAUGCCCUGCAUCCAUAUUCCCACGGCGGGAGCUCUGGCAGGGGAUCGCGAUUUCCUUGUUUCAAUUCUAUUUUUUUUUUUUUUGAAUUUGAAUUGAAAUCGGCUUGGUCUGCCAACUCCAACUUGAGACAGACCCCAAUUUGGGCCGAUUCUCUCACAGCCCAAAUCCAUUUGCUAGUUCCCAUUGUUCCAUUGCCCACAUCCAUCAUACCACAAGUCUAGAAUCAUAACAUUAUACUAUUAUUUUAGGAUAUGUAAGGAAUUAAAUAAAUAUUGACAUAUUUACUAAGAGGAAAAGAAGAAAUCAGAUCAUAGCAUAUAUUUUAGGCAUUCACAAAAUACAACGAUAAUCUGCUACUAAUAAAUGAAUAUAUGAUAAUGUCAUGAUGAUUUAUUACAAUAUAUUGCUUUAUGAACGAAAGAAAUAUGUCUCACGCUGUUAUUUUACAAGUUACAACCUUUUAAAGUAAAAAGAACUGUGGAAGGACACUGAAUAUAAUUUCAGGCUUAAGAAGUUGAAGGUGAUGAUUUCCUUGCUCAGCAUGGCAUCCCGUAGCUCUCAAAC